rnacentral:rRNA from 1 species
UUUGACCUCGGAUCAUGUAGG